AGUGUCAGGUGAUGUGACAUACACCAUCAUAUACCAAAGGAAGAACAAAGAGUCGGAAGUGUCCAGAGAAGAUACCAAGUCAUCUUCACCAGACGAAAAUAUCCUCUAUUCUCUAGUCAUCUUUCAGGCUGCUCACACCCGACUGAAGGACUGAGGAGAUGGUCAGUUCAAAGCUAUGCUUAUAAAAGGGAGGAAGUCAUACUGUUCAGUCAC